GGGUAGUUUGACUGGGGCGGUCUCCUCCCAAAGAGUAACGGAGGAGCACGAAGGUUAGCUAAUCCUGGUCGGACAUCAGGAGGUUAGUGCAAUGGCAUAAGCUAGCUUGACUGCGAGCGUGACGGCGCGAGCAGGUGCGAAAGCAGGUCAUAGUGAUCCGGUGGUUCUGAAUGGAAGGGCCAUCGCUCAACGGAUAAAAGGUACUCCGGGGAUAACAGGCUGAUACCGCCCAAGAGUUCAUAUCGACGGCGGUGUUUGGCACCUCGAUGUCGGCUCAUCACAUCCUGGGGCUGAAGUAGGUCCCAAGGGUAUGGCUGUUCGCCAUUUAAAGUGGUACGCGAGCUGGGUUUAGAACGUCGUGAGACAGUUCGGUCCCUAUCUGCCGUGGGCGCUGGAGAAUUGAGGGGGGCUGCUCCUAGUACGAGAGGACCGGAGUGGACGCAUCACUGGUGUUCGGGUUGUCAUGCCAAUGGCAUUGCCCGGUAGCUAAAUGCGGAAGAGAUAAGUGCUGAAAGCAUCUAAGCACGAAACUUGCCCCGAGAUGAGUUCUCCCUGACUCCUUGAGAGUCCUGAAGGAACGUUAAAGACGAUGACGUUGAUAGGUCGGGUGUGUAAGCGUAGCGAUACGUUGAGCUAACCGAUACUAAUGAACCGUGAGG
rnacentral:rRNA from 1 species